CCGUUUCCAAAGAGCUGUGCUGGGGAAUUCUGGGAAAUGUUGAUCUGGCGCUCCAGGUAGUAGCCAGGACUUCCGGCCCAGGGCUCGAGGUUAUUCCCGCAUUUACCUUGCUGGUGGCUGGCAGGUCUCACUUACCAAGAAAGACCUCACAGAGGUGGACGGGUGAGAGAUCAUGUAGCAGGGCCCCGCGUGAGGACUUGGCAUUCUUUUCCUACAAAGAUUAUUUUCAUAAACGGAGAAUAUGUGGGAUGUACAACUGAUUUCCAAUUUUUAGCUCACAUAUGAGGCUUGGUCAUAAAUGGGUCUCACGAAUGCUUGGUGGAUUGGGACCUAGUGGACCACCUAUUGGCUUCUGGAAAACCUGUAGAUCAUGAUGAAAAUUCAGUGCUGCAGGCGCAGCUCAGUAUCCCAGUGGUCCAGAGCCCAACAGCAGAGAACCCUCGUGAGUGGGGCACCAAGGACAGAAGUCGCACCUGACAUUUAUCAGACCUUAUUCAGGACAGAGGCCUUAAAAGGGUAAGACCAUGAUCAGCUCUUUAACAAAAGCACAAUGAUGGAAAUACCAAUACCAGUUUCCACUAAGAUACAAGCUCCACGAGGGCAGAGAUUGAAAAACACGAAUGAAGGAAUGAAUGGGAUAAAGUAAAGUAUCUUAGUGCCUUGAGUUUGUAAUUCUUCUCACCAGAGUUAAUCAUUCUGGAUGUUUGUUUGAUUUCUAAAAAAUUUCUUCCUUUCAAACACUUGAUUCAAAUUUAAUUACUGAAUGACCACAGUUAUAAGUGGGAUGUGCAUCCUCUUCGGCACCGCAAAACUCCUCUGCUUGAAAUCAGAUUAGAAACCGCCGCCCUCCCUUCUCCUCUUUAGACUCCAGCUCCGAGGACUAUCCAUGAAGAGGAUGAAAGCCCCAUUCUGGUUCCCUUGCCUGGGCCACAUGGGAGCCCGGGGUUUUAUUCACCCACAGGUGCCAGCAACUGUGGGCUGCCUCAAAAGGCACAGGCGACCGGGGACCAGGAGUGGAGAAGAAGGGAGGCUCGUUCAGGUCGUCCUGUUCCUGUGAUCCGCCUGUCAAGCAUUUUAAUUGUUUCUCUGUUGGCUUAUGCCUCUUUCUCAUAUUGAUUUGUAGGACUUCUUUUUGUAAUUGAAUAUAAGCCCCCUGUCAAGUGUAUAUAUAUAUAUAUAUUGUAAAUAUCUUCUCCCAUGCUGAUUUACCUGUUCAUGGUCUUUUGACUUGUUUUUUAAAUAAAAUUUCAAACCCAUGUAAAAGUA